AACGAACGCUGGCGGCAUGCCUAACACAUGCAAGUCGAACGAGACCUUCGGGUCUAGUGUCGCACGGGUGCGUAACGCGUGGUAACCUUCCCUUAUGUUCGGAAUAACUCCCCGAAAGGGGUGCUAAUACCGGAUAAUUUCUUCGGACCAAAGAUUUAUCGCCUUUGGAUGGUCCCGCGUUGGAUUAGCUAGUUGUUAGGGUAAAAGCAUACCAAGGCGACGAUCCAUAGCUGGUCUGAGAGGAUGAUCAGCCACACUGGGACUGAGACACGGCCCAGACUCCUACGGGAGGCAGCAGUGGGGAAUAUUGGACAAUGGGCGAAAGCCUGAUCCAGCAAUGCCGCGUGAGUGAUGAAGGCCUGAGGGUUGUAAAGCUCUUUUACCCGGGAUGAUAAUGACAGUACCGGGAGAAUAAGCUCCGGCUAACUCCGUG
rnacentral:rRNA from 1 species